CGCGAAGGUCAGUCUUCAAAAGCAACUGCCAGCGAAGGGAAGGACACUAUUAGUCACUCCCUCCCGCACUGGGCGCAACUGAGGCCAGACAAGUCAAGACGAGGAGCAUCUCCAGGAUUUCGUCUUUUUCGUCUUCAAGAAAUACGGAGACACUGAAUCCGGGUUGUCGCGAGAGGCAAACGAGCACAAACUCACCAUGAAUAAAGUUCUUCUUCUGACGGUGCUGCUGGCGGUUCUCGUAGGCGUGGCGUGGUCCUUCCCGCAGGUGGUCAUAACGCAGCCACGGAAGUUCCCCGGAGAAAGGCGUCUGGGGACCAUUAACUACGGCCAAUAUCGCUUCGGCAAGAGAGGGUACCAGAGGAAGUGCCAUUCAAGAAAAAAGAACUGUAAGUUUCAUUAGAGAGAGAAAAAGACAUACUCCUUAAAACUGGACAUAAUGAAUCCAAGCUAACAGAGGCUACGCAAGGAAGGUAUAUAUAUGUAUAUAUAUAUAUAUAUAUAUAUAUAUAUAUAUAUAUAUAUAUAUAUAUAUAUAUAUACAAGAGUUAGAUGGUAUAUAAGAAUCCUUUUAACAUAUUGGAAAAUGUGUGCAAUGAAUCCAAGCUAACAGAGGAAGGUAUAUGUAUAUAAAGAGUUAGAUGGUAUAUAAGAAUCCUGUUAACGUAUUGGAAAAUGUAGUGCAAACACGGAUUUUCGAUACGAAAUUAUGCAGUCGUUAACGAAAGGCACGUUAGGUUAGGGAAGUUAAAUCAGUGUGUGCGUAAGAUACUGCCACAGUGAGAGAAAGUUAUAUAUAUAUAAUUAAGAUUAUAGUAUCUUGUACUCUUAUCGUCACAACAACUUAAACUAAACGUCUUGAAAUACUCAGUAAUAAUCUAUGGUCAAAUUGCUUUACCAUUGAAAAUUGGACCGUCUACUACCAUGCGAUUAGUUACAGACAAUGAACACCACAAGGGAGGUGUUGUGAGAUCCAGUUCAUUUUCCUUUUGUGUGUCUUUAUUUUUACCUUUCUUAAGGGAUCUGAAACAAUUGUCAAAACUGUAGGUUAAGAGAAAACCUAUGGCAUGUUGUAAAUUGAUUUAUAUUAAAUCAUCCAUGUUUAUAAUGAUUUAGUACGUUUGUGUAUGUUUGCGUGUAAGCUAUGUAGUGUUAUUUUAACACAAUGUUAACAAAGUUAAUAUAAAAAGCAUUAUAUAUUUGUUAUUUUUGUACUUCAGUCAUAGAAUAUUUUACUACGGCAUUUUAAAUAUGUGUUAUGAAUAUAUGUUACUUAAGUCGCUGACUGUUAUGUAAAUGCUUCAAUUGUUUAGAAAAAGAAAUGUUUUCUUUUAA